rnacentral:lncRNA from 1 species
UUGUUUUGCUCACGACCGAACUCUCUGUAACCCUCUGGAUGAGGCAUCCAUGGUUUCAAGUUAGAUGCGUACAUAGUAUUAAUCUCUUCCAAUGUACGACCCUUGGUCUCAUGGACAAACAGAAAAAUAAUUGCAGCACCUGUUAAAUUACAUGAAGCAAAAAUAUAACCAUACUUAAAACCAAUAGAAUUUGUGAUGAAAGGAGUAAAGAAAGAAAUCAAAAAAUUCCAAAACCAGUUAGCUGAAGUAGCGACAGCUGCACAUUUGGAACGAUAACGAACAGGAUAUGACUCACCCACAAUAACGUAUGCGGCAGGGGCCCAAGUUUGAGAAAAUGAAAAAAUGAAAAGGCAUGAGAACACAAUCAUUACAGCACCCGCACGGUGGUUUGAAGUUCCAUUUUUGUGAUAUAGUGCACGAUCACCAACUGCUGCAUAAAUGAAGAAGCAAAUAUAUUGCCAUAUACCACCAACAAUCAAAGGAGAACGUCGUCCAAAGAAUUCAAGCACAAAAAUGGCUCCAAAAGUACAACCACAAUUGACAGCAUCCGGAAUUAAGGCAGCCAAAUAGGGUGAAUCCAUACCGGUACCGCGGAAUACCUGAGUACCGUAGUAGAAAUAAUAAUUAGCACCAGUAAGUUGUUGGAACAUCAUAACAGCCAUUCCAAGGAAUGUACGAUAGCGAAUAUUUGCAUUGAAAAUUUCUGGCCAUCUUGCCGGACCACCAGCUAACUCUGCGUCACAAUCAGAUUUAAUGGUAUGAUACUCUGUUUGAAUGAUUUCGUGUUCAAGCGGAAGGUCAUUGUUGUAACACAUUAUCUUCAAAGCCUCAUCAUCUUUACCAAUGGCAAUUAGAUAGCGGGGCGAUUCCGGUAGAAAUAUAAUACCUACUAAAGUAAUGAUACCCCAGAGUAAGUUAAUUCCAAUGGAUAUACGCCACUGAGCAGUGGUUCCAUGAGAAUAUUUGUGCGUCCCCAUAUUGAUGCAAGCGGCGAUGAAAAUACCAAGCGUAAUAAAUAACUGAUAAGUUGUAACGAUAGCACCUCUCAUUAUAGCAGGUGCAACUUCUGAUUGAUAACCUGGUGUGAUAACAGACAACGCUCCUAUCGAAAGACCUGUCCAUAUUUUGGCUACCAAGAUCUGUACCCAAGAGGGAACUGUUGUUACUUGAAUAAUAAUACCAAUAAGAUAAACUGUGGUCCACACAAUAAUGGAGAGACGCUUACCAAUUUUAUCAGCUACUGGUGAAGAUAGAAGACAACCGAAGAAAGAACCCACAUUAACCAUACCGGUAAUUAAUCCUUGUCGUGAUGAAGAAUAAGAGUAUGAGUUUGUAAUCUGAUUAUACCGAUCAGCGAACCGUGAUUGAAAAUCGCGCAUGUUAGUUAUACCACCAAUGGAACCAGUAUCCGCACCAAACUACCAACCGGUCAUAGAAAUGAACACAAGCAUAACAAUCGUAAUUGUUCUCGCCAUUGUUUAAUAUUCUAUAGAUUUAAAUAAAGAAUUAAAUAUUGGAUAUUAUAGAAAGUUUCCUUUUUCGAUGAAUAGUAAAGAAUAGGAAAUCUAACUUAGAGCCAGGACUAUAACGGAAAACCUAGU